GUAACGAAGUUUGAAAGUACGACGUUCACCAUGUUGUGUCCUCUUACUCCUUCGUCGUCACGUCUUCAGUGAUGCACUACAAUUUGCUAAUAAGUGGUCCCUUAGUUAAGUGAACGGGUUCCCUAGGGGUGAAGAAAGGAGCGAUAUAACUGGCUGAGAGGUGACUCAGACGUCGGCCAAGACAGAGUGCGCUUCGAGAAUAGAAAAGAGGACACUUCAAAUGCGCAGUAUAGGCUCUGAGGACCCCCGAGCGGCCAUCAGCGGAAUGACUAGCAGGCAGACCGGCCUGCGCUUCAUGUGACAUGACGGCAGCUACAUCACCAAAGCCCGUCCGACGUCGCUUGUAAGACCAUUCGCAGCGC